AUGGAUGUCAAGUCGGCAUUCCUCAACGGCGACUUGAAGGAGGAAGUCUACGUGCAUCAGCCACCGGGAUUUGCGAUCCCUGGCCAGGAGGGCAAGGUACUCCGCCUGCGCAAGGCCCUCUAUGGCCUACGGCAGGCACCUAGGGCGUGGAACGCCAAGCUGGACUCCACGCUAAAGAAGAUGGGCUUCGAGCAAAGCUCGCAUGAGGCGGCCGUCUACCGACGGGGCAGUGGAGGAAAUGCCCUGCUGGUGGGCGUCUAUGUUGACGACUUGGUGAUCACCGGCACCAAAGAUGCGGAGGUGGCGGCGUUCAAGGAAGACAUGAAGGCCACCUUUCAGAUGAGUGAUCUGGGGCUCCUCUCCUUCUAUCUAGGGAUUGAGGUGCACCAGGAUCACUCCGGGAUCGCACUUCGACAGUCCGCCUACGCCAAGCGCAUCGUUGAGCUAGCUGGGCUCACCGACUGCCACCCAGCCCUCACCCCGAUGGAGGAGAGGCUGAAACUGAGCCGCGACAGCACGACGGAGGAAGUGGACGCUACGCAGUACCGACGCCUUGUGGGGAGCCUUCGCUACCUCGCCCACACACGGCCGGACUUGGCCUUCUCCGUCGGCUAUGUCAGUCGUUUCAUGAAGCGACCAACGACGGAGCACCAGUAG
rnacentral:rRNA from 1 species